CUGACCAGGAAUGAGCAAGCCAACACUGAGAAAAGUCAAUACCGAGGCUGAAGUCACAGAGCUGGGUCAUCAUGAAUUUUGGCCUGAUUUGCUGAAAGCAG